UUGAACGCUGGCGGCAUGCUUUACACAUGCAAGUCGAACGGUAACAGCACUUCGGUGGCUGACGAGUGGCGAACGGGUGAGUAAUACAUCGGAACGUGCCUAGUAGUGGGGGAUAACUACUCGAAAGAGUAGCUAAUACCGCAUGAGAUCUAAGGAUGAAAGCAGGGGACCUUCGGGCCUUGCGCUACUAGAGCGGCUGAUGGCAGAUUAGGUAGUUGGUGGGAUAAAAGCUUACCAAGCCGACGAUCUGUAGCUGGUCUGAGAGGACGACCAGCCACACUGGGACUGAGACACGGCCCAGACUCCUACGGGAGGCAGCAGUGGGGAAUUUUGGACAAAGGGCGCAAGCCUGAUCCAGCAAUGCCGCGUGCAGGAUGAAGGCCUUCGGGUUGUAAACUGCUUUUGUACGGAACGAAAAGCCCUCUUCUAAUACAGGAGGGUCAUGACGGUACCGGAAGAAUAAGCACCGGCUAACUACGUG
rnacentral:rRNA from 1 species